CCGGGUUGCGGACAGUGUCUGGUGGGUAGUUUGACUGGGGCGGUCUCCUCCUAAAGAGUAACGGAGGAGCACGAAGGUUGGCUAAUCCUGGUCGGACAUCAGGAGGUUAGUGCAAUGGCAUAAGCCAGCUUGACUGCGAGCGUGACGGCGCGAGCAGGUGCGAAAGCAGGUCAUAGUGAUCCGGUGGUUCUGAAUGGAAGGGCCAUCGCUCAACGGAUAAAAGGUACUCCGGGGAUAACAGGCUGAUACCGCCCAAGAGUUCAUAUCGACGGCGGUGUUUGGCACCUCGAUGUCGGCUCAUCACAUCCUGGGGCUGAAGUAGGUCCCAAGGGUAUGGCUGUUCGCCAUUUAAAGUGGUACGCGAGCUGGGUUUAGAACGUCGUGAGACAGUUCGGUCCCUAUCUGCCGUGGGCGCUGGAGAACUGAGGGGGGCUGCUCCUAGUACGAGAGGACCGGAGUGGACGCAUCACUGGUGUUCGGGUUGUCAUGCCAAUGGCACUGCCCGGUAGCUAAAUGCGGAAGAGAUAAGUGCUGAAAGCAUCUAAGCACGAAACUUGCCCCGAGAUGAGUUCUCCCUGACUCCUUGAGAGUCCUGAAGGAACGUUGAAGACGACGACGUUGAUAGGCCGGGUGUGUAAGCGCAGCGAUGCGUUGAGCUAACCGGUACUAAUGAACCGUGAGGCUUAACCUUACAACGCCGAAGCUGUU
rnacentral:rRNA from 1 species